AAUUGACGGGGCCCGCACAAGCGGUGGAGCAUGUGGUUUAAUUCGACGCAACGCGAAGAACCUUACCUGGAUUUGACAUCCCCGGGAAUCUUUCUGAAAGGAUUGAGUGCCCUUCGGGGAGCCCGGUGACAGGUGCUGCAUGGCUGUCGUCAGCUCGUGUCGUGAGAUGUUGGGUUAAGUCCCGCAACGAGCGCAACCCUUAUCUUUAGUUACCAUCAUUAAGUUGGGGACUCUAAAAGAUACUGCCCCGGUUAACGGGGAGAAGGUGGGGAUGACGUCAAGUCCUCAUGGCCUUUAUGUCCAGGGCUACACACGUGCUACAAUGGGUUGUACAAAGGGUUGCGAACUCGCGAGAGUAAGCCAAUCCCAAAAAGCAACUCUUAGUUCGGAUUGGAGUCUGCAACUCGACUCCAUGAAGCUGGAAUCGCUAGUAAUCGUGGAUCAGCAUGCCACGGUGAAUACGUUCCCGGGCCUU
rnacentral:rRNA from 1 species